rnacentral:tRNA from 1 species
GCUUACGUAGUCUACUUAAGAUGUGACACUGAAGAUGUCAAGACGAACCCUGAAAAGUUCCGCGAGCA